UACGUAGGCAGCGAGCGUUGUUCGGAAUUAUUGGGCGUAAAGAGUGUGUAGGCGGUGCUCCAAGUCUGUUGUGAAAUCUCCCGGCUUAACUGGGAGGGUGCGGCGGAAACUGGAAUGCUAGAGGGUGGGAGAGGUAAGCGGAAUUCCUGGUGUAGCGGUGAAAUGCGUAGAUAUCAGGAGGAACACCUGUGGUGUAGACAGCUUACUGGACCACUUCUGACGCUGAGACACGAAAGCGUGGGUAGCAAACAGG
rnacentral:rRNA from 1 species